AACUCGACUACAUGAAGCUGGAAUCGCUAGUAAUCGCGAAUCAGCAUGUCGCGGUGAAUACGUUCCCGGGUCUUGUACACACCGCCCGUCACACCAUGGGAGUUGGUAACGCCCGAAGCCAGUGACCCAACCGGAAACGGAGGGAGCUGUCGAAGGUGGGACCGAUAACUGGGGUGAAGUCGUAACAAGGUAUC
rnacentral:rRNA from 1 species